CCUCUGGAGCGGAGGAUCAUUCCG
rnacentral:rRNA from 1 species